rnacentral:rRNA from 1 species
GAUGAACGCUGGCGGCGUGCUUAACACAUGCAAGUCGAACGGAAAGGCCCAAGCUUGCUUGGGUACUCGAGUGGCGAACGGGUGAGUAACACGUGGGUGAUCUGCCCUGCACUUCGGGAUAAGCCUGGGAAACUGGGUCUAAUACCGGAUAGGACCACAUUUUGGAUGGUGUGGUGGAAAGUUUUUCGGUGUGGGAUGAGCUCGCGGCCUAUCAGCUUGUUGGUGGGGGAAUGGCCUACCAAGGCGUCGACGGGUAGCCGGCCUGAGAGGGUGUACGGCCACAUUGGGACUGAGAUACGGCCCAGACUCCUACGGGAGGCAGCAGUGGGGAAUAUUGCACAAUGGGCGCAAGCCUGAUGCAGCGACGCCGCGUGGGGGAUGACGGCCUUCGGGUUGUAAACUCCUUUCGCUAGGGACGAAGCGUUUUUGUGACGGUACCUGGAGAAGAAGCACCGGCUAACUACGUG